rnacentral:tRNA from 1 species
AUGCGGUUAGACCAAUGGUUAGGUCAGCAUCUUUACACGGUGCAUACUGUUGGUUCGAGUCCAGCACUGCAUAGCA